CGAGGGUUGGCGCAAACGGUAGCGCACGCGACUUUUAAUCGCGGGGUUGCGGGUUCGAGCCCCGCACCCUCGACCA
rnacentral:tRNA from 1 species